CUUUUACAAUGAAGAGUUUGAUCCUGGCUCAGGAUGAACGCUAGCUACAGGCUUAACACAUGCAAGUCGAGGGGCAUCAGGAAGAAAGCUUGCUUUCUUUGCUGGCGACCGGCGCACGGGUGAGUAACACGUAUCCAACCUGCCCUUUACUCGGGGAUAGCCUUU
rnacentral:rRNA from 1 species